rnacentral:lncRNA from 1 species
GGCGUAAAAUGGGAAAAAGCGCUUGGAGGCAAGUUUACCUUACUAGGUGUGUUUUAAACGGGAUAAAAAAAACACAUAUUCAAAAACCCAAAGGGCAACAAACCCCAAAGCCCAACCCAGUGUAACUGGCAGCAGAGUCUGGCCUCCACGCUUCACGUGGUGAUGCAAUAGCCUUUUUAAACAGAUAAGUUUUUGAAAUAGUGGUUUUAGAGCUCCUUUUUCUUCGCUGGUUUUGGUAUCGAGCAGAUCUGCCAGCCACGCUGUCAGCCUGGGAGGAAGAACAUUUGAUGAUGCUCCAGCUGUGCGUUAAAGGCAUCUUCUAUACAAGCUGCUCAAACUUCUCCAAGGCAAUCUCCUGGCCAAUACUAACAGGGCACAUUGCAUGGAAACACUCGGACAUGGGAAUCUGCUCUUUGCGCUCAAGCGGUUAAAAGUCUGCUCCCUCCUCAACUCCUUCUAGGCUGACCCUGGAAAAUACCUCUCACAGUAGAGACUAAAUGCGGGACAGAAACUAGGGCUCCUAGGAUACAAUAAUA